rnacentral:lncRNA from 1 species
UUAACCAAUCGGAUAUGUUUAUAAAGUUAUGAACGAUGAUGUUUAUAAAAUAUAUAUGCAGAAUUAAACAUGUUAAUCAAAAGCAAAAAAUUUUAAAAAGUAUAAUAAUACAUAUGCUAAAAUGCAUCCAUCCACCCCAAGCUCUCCAUUUAGAAGCUUAAUACUUAUAGUCCUUAACAUGCAAGCUCUCAGAAGCCAACCCAGUUCCACUUCCACCACCAUACUUUCCCAAAGUAGCCUCAGAAUUGGCCUUGCAUCUUGCCAGAAACACAUCUUGAGCUUUGCCCACAUUCUCUUUCUUUCCAGACCAUGUCUUGAGUGUGCUUUGCUGCAGUGCUCUCCCAAAUGAGAAUGAAAGUGUCCAUGGCUUCACAACAUCAAACUUAUUCAUUGCAUUCAGGUUCAGUGUAGCUUGUUCUUCACUUUGUCCUCCAGACAGAAAAACUAUCCCUGGUACCGCAGCUGGGACAGUCCUGCGCAAUGCAUUGACUGUGUACUCACCAAUCACCUCAGGUGAUACCUGCACACAAAAAUGCAUAUUGUUUGUUUUCCAAGUUAAUAACGUCGCAGUAAUAUACUUCAUCAGUCCCGUUGAUUUCUUACAUUUUGUCGACGCAUAAGUAGAAACUAGCAAUGUGACAAAAACGUCAGUGACCUAAUUAUUUUCACUCACAUGAGAGACCUCAGACAAAAGAUUGGUGAUUUACUCUUUUCCAAAAUUGAGUGUUACCUUUGGGCUAUCAGAACCGGGGGUGACCAUGUUGGGCUUGAGAAGAGUUCCUUCAAGAAGGACAUGUUGAUCAUUCAGUGCCUUGUAACAGGCUGCAAGCACAGUUUCAGUAACAGCAGCGCAUUUGGCGAUGUCAUGAGAUCCAUCGGUUAAAAUCUCGGGCUCAACAAUAGGCACGAGGCCAUUCUCCUGGCAAAUGAUGGCGUAGCGAGCCAAGCCCUGUGCGUUUUGCUGGAUAGACAACUCAGAGGGCUCAUUGGGGCCAAUCUUGAGGACUGCACGCCACUUGGCAAAGCGCGCUCCAGCCUUGUAGUACUGCUGGCAUCUAGCUCCAAGAGAGUCAAAGCCUUGUGUUGUUGUUUCACCAUCUGUUCCAGCCAAUUCAACAACACCCUUGUCAACUUUGAUGCCGGGUAUGACAUUGUUCUCUUGGAGAAUUUCAACAAAAGGCUUCCCUUCUGAGGACUUCUGGUAAAGAGUUUCCUCGAAGAGGAUGACACCAGAGAGGUAUUGGAGUGCAUUAGGAGAAGUGAAAAGAAGUUCGCGAAGAGCUUGACGGUUGGCCUCGAUGUUCUCAACGUUGAUGCUUGCUAGACGCUUGCCAAUGGUCCCUGUGCUCUCAUCAGCCGCCAAGAUACCCUUGCCAGGAGUAGCUAUGUACUUGGCAUUCUUGAUAAGCUCAUCUUGAAAUGAAAACCACAAUCAAUUAUUAUUACAUAAACUUGAUGAUGAUGAUGAUGAUGAUUGAAAUCAAGGUAACUUCUUCGACAUGACAAGAAUCAUUAUGAUUCGACACUUUAAAAUUACUAGUGUAUUUAUGCUAGCAACACUUAUUUUAAAACAUUUUUUAUACACUAAAAUGGCAGUUAUUUUGUAAGUGGAAAGAUUGACAUGCUUGUAGUACAAUGAAUAACUGCUAUGUGUAUGUUUAGUAAGAGUGAGUAUGCUUAAAUUAGAAGAAGAAAGGUCAGAAUGAGAUUACCUGCAUACUUUCCAACAAAGGCAGACAUGCUUUGAAAUUGAUAUUGUAUGGCGGGAAACAAAC